GAUGAACGCUGGCGGCGUGCCUAAUACAUGCAAGUCGAGCGAACAGACGAGGAGCUUGCUCCUCUGAUGUUAGCGGCGGACGGGUGAGUAACACGUGGAUAACCUACCUAUAAGACUGGGAUAACUUCGGGAAACCGGAGCUAAUACCGGAUAACAUGUUGAACCGCAUGGUUCAACAGUGAAAGACGGUCUUGCUGUCACUUAUAGAUGGAUCCGCGCCGCAUUAGCUAGUUGGUAAGGUAACGGCUUACCAAGGCAACGAUGCGUAGCCGACCUGAGAGGGUGAUCGGCCACACUGGAACUGAGACACGGUCCAGACUCCUACGGGAGGGAGCAGUAGGGAAUCUUCCGCAAUGGGCGAAAGCCUGACGGAGCAACGCCGCGUGAGUGAAGAAGGUCUUCGGAUCGUAAAACUCUGUUAUUAGGGAAGAACAAAUGUGUAAGUAACUAUGCACGUCUUGACGGUACCUAAUCAGAAAGCCACGGCUAACUACGUG
rnacentral:rRNA from 1 species